GACGAACGCUGGCGGCGUGCUUAACACAUGCAAGUCGAACGGAAAGGCCCUGCUUUUGUGGGGUGCUCGAGUGGCGAACGGGUGAGUAACACGUGAGUAACCUGCCCUUGACUUUGGGAUAACUUCAGGAAACUGGGGCUAAUACCGGAUAGGAGCUCCUGCUGCAUGGUGGGGGUUGGAAAGUUUCGGCGGUUGGGGAUGGACUCGCGGCUUAUCAGCUUGUUGGUGGGGUAGUGGCUUACCAAGGCUUUGACGGGUAGCCGGCCUGAGAGGGUGACCGGCCAAAUGGGAACGGGGAAACGGCCAAGACGACAAGGGGAGGAAGGGGUGGGAAAUAUUGCAAAAGGGGGGGAAGCCGGAUGCAGAAACGCGGGGGGGGGGAUGACGGCCUUGGGGUUGGAAACCGUUUUCGCGGGGGAAGAAGCGUGGGGGAGGGAAAUGGGAAAAGAAGCACCGGCAAAUAAGGU
rnacentral:rRNA from 1 species